rnacentral:rRNA from 1 species
GUAGGUGGCAAGCGUUGUCCGGAAUUAUUGGGCGUAAAGCGCGCGCAGGCGGUUCUUUAAGUCUGAUGUGAAAGCCCACGGCUCAACCGUGGAGGGUCAUUGGAAACUGGAGAACUUGAGUACAGAAGAGGAAAGCGGAAUUCCACGUGUAGCGGUGAAAUGCGUAGAGAUGUGGAGGAACACCAGUGGCGAAGGCGGCUUUCUGGUCUGUAACUGACGCUGAGGCGCGAAAGCGUGGGGAGCGAACAGGAUUAGAUACCCUGGUAGUCCACGCCGUAAACGAUGAGUGCUAAGUGUUAGGGGGUUUCCGCCCCCCUUAGUGCUGCAGCUAACGCAUUAAGCACUCCGCCUGGGAGUACGGCCGCAAGGCUG